AGUGCUAACGUAGACGCGGGUUAAAGUGUAGUGUCCCUUCUUAUCAGCUUAAUAUCUGAUACGAGUUGUAUUGGGACCUAAGAUGUUAAACUUAUUUUUACAAGUUGGCGGAGUGCUUAAAGCCUGCUUCACUUUCGCCGCGGGCCGGUCCGGUGUUACACUAUCUUCGGUAUCGGCCCACGUAAG